UAUAUGCAAAUGAAAAAGAUUUUGGAAAUAAAUCCAUAUAGCUCACUUGUCAAGAAGUUGAAGAGUGACUUUGAUGUACUUGGUGUUGAUAAUUUGUAGGUUCAUGGUGGUAAUGAUACCGAGUGGGUGGACACUCUAAAGUUUUUUUAUCAGAUCUGCAUGAUGAGGUCUCAAUAUACCCCGCGUGAUUCGAUUGGAUUUGCUAAUCGUGCCGAAAAACAUUUGAAAAAUAGUUUGCAAGUGAAUGAUGACGAUUUUUCCAAUGAAUUGUUUUUAAUUGAUGACGAUAUCGAAAAUUCAGUAGAUGUUACAUCGGAGGGGGAUACGUCUAAUAAGAUUUUUGAACCAUCAAUGGCUGACAGCUUGCCUCAACCAGAGGACGCUGACAUCACUGCUGAUCCUGUUACUGAGGAAUUAUAACGUUUAGUUAUUUAAUUCUUUGUUCGGGUGUUUUUUUCUUUGCCUUUUACC
rnacentral:lncRNA from 1 species